GCAAGAGGAAGAGCAGAGAUGAAAUAUCCCUACCCAGAAUUUCUGGUUUGAAAAGAGAUGAAGGCAGCAAGAGGGUUGGAAGAGACUAUGAAUACUUCCAUAAAAAGAGCCAUGAUCUUUUAAAAAUUUCUGUUCACCUAUACACAGUCUUACUUGAGCCCCAGAGUUUUGAGAUCUUUGACAUCCCAAGUGUGGACCUUCAUUCGGGUCAGAUAGAUGCAGAUUAGGAUCCCAGCUUUAAAAUGUCCUGCUUGUACGUCCUCAAGAAAGUUUCUUGCCCUCUCUGAAAUUAAUUUU
rnacentral:lncRNA from 1 species